rnacentral:sRNA from 1 species
GGUGAGGUGUCUCAACCCGACAGUUCAUAAAGUUGGCGGCUUUGUUAAAGCUUUACCACCUGAUAUAACCCUGUUUUUACUGAUUUUAUUUAUUUUUUAGGAUAAGGAUUUUGAGUCUUUAUGUUAUUUUUCGAGUCUUUUUAAUGUCUAUUCAGGUAUUCUGUCAAGUGGGACAACAAUGGAGAUGAGGAGACAUUUUGGAACAAGAGCUAAGGAAAAGGAAACUAAGAACGAUUUCAGAUUCCAGAUUCAGAGGGAGUGUCCAUCGACACCAUUUUUCGGCCCAGAAAAGUCCAUGGUGCUUUCAAGUUAACCGAAGUGGAAAUUUGCCCCAAAAGACUUCCCUAUUUGCAUUAUUAGUCCUUGGACGUUUUAUAGGGUUUAUAUA